UCUCCGUUGGUGAACCAGCGGAGGGAUCAUUACAGAGUUGCAAAACUCCAAACCAUUGUGAACGUUACCUAUCCCGUUGCUUCGGCGGGCGGCCCGGGCCCCGCGCCCGGCGCCCCCCGGCCCCCCGUGGGCGCCCGCCGGAGGUAAACCAAACCCUUGAAUUGCAUGGCCUCUCUGAGUCUUCUGUACUGAAUAAGUCAAAACUUUCAACAACGGAUCUCUUGGUUCUG
rnacentral:misc_RNA from 1 species